rnacentral:rRNA from 1 species
UUCGGUCCGCUGACGAGUGGCGAACGGGUGUGUAACGCGUGGAUACCUGCCCCGAGGUGGGGGAUAACAUCUGGAAACAGAUGCUAAUACCGCACACUCUCCAAGGAGAAAAGGCUUCGGCCGCCUUGGGAGGGGUCCGCGUCGGAUUAGCUUGUUGGUGAGGUAACGGCUCACCAAGGCGACGAUCCGUAGCUGGUCUGAGAGGAUGAUCAGCCACACUGGGACUGAGACACGGCCCAGACUCCUACGGGAGGCAGCAGUGGGGAAUAUUGCGCAAUGGGGGAAACCCUGACGCAGCAAUACCGCGUGAGCGAUGAAGGCCUUCGGGUUGUAAAGCUCUUUUAGUAGGGACGAUAGUGACGGUACCUACAGAAAAAACUCCGGCUAACUCCGUGCCAGCAGCCGCGGUAAUACGGAGGGAGUAAGCGUUGUUCGGAAUUACUGGGCGUAAAGGGCGCGUAGGCGGUCCUGCAAG